rnacentral:misc_RNA from 1 species
GAAAUGCGAUAAGUAAUGUGAAUUGCAGAAUUCAGUGAAUCAUCGAAUCUUUGAACGCACCUUGCGCUCCUUGGUAUUCCGAGGAGCAUGCCUGUUUGAGUGUCAUGGAAUUCUCAACUCUAUUUGCUUUUGUGAAUAGAGCUUGGAUUUGGAGGUUUAUUGCUGGUACUUGUGAUCGGCUCCUCUUGAAUGCAUUAGCUUGAACCUUUGCGGAUCAGCUAUCGGUGUGAUAAUUGUCUACGCCGUUGCAGUGAAGCAUAUCAAUGGGCUCGGCUUCCAAUCGUCCUUUACUGGACAAUGACUUUGACCUUUGACCUCAAAUCAGGUAGGAUUACCCGCUGAACUUAAGC